rnacentral:rRNA from 1 species
UACGUAGGGUGCGAGCGUUAAUCGGAAUUACUGGGCGUAAAGCGUGCGCAGGCGGUUGUGCAAGACCGAUGUGAAAUCCCCGGGCUUAACCUGGGAAUGGCAUUGGUGACUGCACGGCUAGAGUGUGUCAGAGGGGGGUAGAACUCCACGUGUAGCAGUGAAAUGCGUAGAGAUGUGGAGGAAUACCGAUGGCGAAGGCAGCCCCCUGGGAUAACACUGACGCUCAUGCACGAAAGCGUGGGGAGCAAACAGG